CAAAUCCCACAUCCACCCAAAGUGCACCAGAGCCCGGAGGCACCCAAAUUGCUCCAAACCCUGCAGCCACCCAAAAUGCACCAAAUCCCACAUCCAGCCAAACUGUACCAAAGCCCAGAGGGACCCAACUUGCAUCAAGCCCUGGAGGCACCCAACGUGCUCCAAACCCUGCGGCCACCCAACUGGCACCGAACCCUGGAGGCACCCAACUUGCUCCAAAGCCCGGAAGCACCCAAAAUGCACCAGACCGCAGAGGCACCCAACGUGCACCAGACCCCGGGGGCACCCAAAUUCCUCCAAAGUCUGGAGGCACCCAAAUUGCACCAGACCCCAGAGGCACCCAACUUCCACCAGACCCCAGAGGCACCCAAAAUGCUCCAAACCCCCAUAUCCACCCAAAAUGCACCAAGUGCACCAGACCCCACAGCCACCCAAAAUGCACCAAAGCCCAGAGGCACCCAACUUGUACCCAACCCCGGAGACACCCAAAGUGCACCAGACCCCCAUAUCCACCCAAAAGGCACCAAACCCUGCAGCCACCCAACUUGCUCCAGACCCCAGGGGCACCCAAAGUGCAUCAGACCCCGGAGGCACCCAAAUUGCACUGAACCCCAGAGGCACCCAAAUUGCACCAAAGCCCGGAGGCACCCAAAUUGCUCCAAAGUCUGGAGGCACCCAAAAUGCACCAGACCCCCAUAUCCACCCAACUUGCACCAGACCCCAGAGGCACCCAACUUGCACCAGACCCCCAUAUCCACCCAAAAUGCACCAGACCCUGCAGCCACCCAACUUGCACCCGACCCCGGAGGCACCCAAAACGUGCCGCGUGCCCCCGAGGGGGGGUUUCGCCGCCCCCUCACCUGAAGGGGUACCCGAACUGCACCGAAAUGACGCUCAUCUCUUUGCUCUCGCCGUUGCACUUCACCGUGGCGCCCGUCUCGCCGCUGAAGGAGCCGCAGGUGCCGAAGGCGAAGAUGGCGAAGAGCUGGGAGAGAGCGACGGGGCGUUGGGGUCGCCGGCGGGCGGGUGGCACCCCGGGAGGGCGGGUGGCAC
rnacentral:lncRNA from 1 species